UUUCCGUAGGUGAACCUGCGGAAGGAUCAUUACCUUCUAGUUAUUUUGACUAGUCGGGGGCUGGCUUGCGAUGUCCCAAAAGGACCCCUGCCGCCCUGGCUACAUCCUUGUCUAUUGCGUACUACAUGUUUCCUCGGUAGGCUUGCCUGCCGAUUGGACAACCAUUAAACUCUUUUGUAAUUGCAAUCAGCGUCUGAAAAUAAUUUUAAUUAUUACAACUUUCAACAACGGAUCUCUUGGUUCUGGCAUCGAUGAAGAACGCAGC
rnacentral:misc_RNA from 1 species